UACGGGGGGAGCAAGCGUUGUUCGGAUUUACUGGGCGUAAAGGGCGCGUAGGCGGUCGUGACAAGUCACUUGUGAAAUCUCCGGGCUUAACUCGGAACGGUCAAGUGAUACUGUCGGACUAGAGUACAGAAGGGGCAACUGGAAUUCUCGGUGUAGCGGUGAAAUGCGUAGAGAUCGGGAGGAAGGCCGGUGGCGAAGGCGGCGCUCUGGAACAUUUCUGACGCUGAGGCUCGAAAGCGUGGGGAGCAAACAGG
rnacentral:rRNA from 1 species